GUUUAAUAUUGCAAAACAAUACCUACUUUUGGAUGCCAGACGUCGACACAUGAGGAUAAUAGAAAGAGGAUUUUCGUAGAAUCUUCCCGACAGAAUCUCCCAGAAGCAUCGAGUAAAUGUCGCAAAUCAUGCCUACCGUAAGGAACCGGAGGUCGAGAAAAGAAUCCUAAUGGUAAGAAAAAAAAGUCGAUUUCGUUUAGUCUAUGCGUAACUAAAAAUAGUUUUCAAUUUUAUAUGAUGAAAUUAAUUGGUCCGUGUUGAUGAAUUUAGUUGAUUAUAAGUUUUACUCCAAUUACUGAUAAUUCCAUGCAGUCUUCAACCUAUGGAUCUUGCGUUUCAUGAAAUGUUAAUUAGUUUUUUUUCCUUCCUUACAGCUCCUCGAGAGGUCCUCUCAGGUACGAUCGUGAACAUGCUUUCAAAGGUUCUUGAAACAGGAUAAACGACCGAACU